AUAUAUCAACCUCUUCAGCUUUUUGCAUGUUGAGUGUUGGAUGUGGGGGUAUUUUUUUGCUGGACUCUUGAAUCUGAGGUCAGCUCCCCUAAAAUGCAUCAGCGAAACAAUUUGUUUACCGCUCAUUGGCGUGAUAACUAUCUACGCUAUUGACGGUGAAGCAUGUUUAGCUCCUAACAGUCCAUUAACUUGGACAAACCUCUUAUUAAUGUGACCUCAAAUCAGGUAGGACUACCCGCUGAACUUAAGCAUAUCAAUAAGCGGAGGAAAAGAAACUAACAAGGAUUCCCCUAGUAACUGCGAGUGAAGCGGGAAAAGCUCAAAUUUAAAAUCUGGCGGUCUAUGGCUGUCCGAG
rnacentral:rRNA from 1 species